rnacentral:rRNA from 1 species
GACGAACCGAGCGAACGUUAUUCGGAAUCACUGGGCUUAAAGGGUGCGUAGGCGGGCACGCGAGUCAGGGGUGAAAUCCCACGGCCCAACCGUGGAAGUGCCUCUGAUACCGCGAGCCUCGAGGGGGAUAGGGGCGUGCGGAACUUCCGGUGGAGCGGUGAAAUUCGUAGAUAUUAGGAAGAACACCAGUGGCGAAGGCGGCUCACUGGCCCGGUACUGACGCUGAGGCGCGAAAGCGUGGGGAGCAAACAGG